GAGAGUUGAUCAUGGCUCAGGAUGAACGCUAGCGACAGGCUUAACACAUGCAAGUCGAGGGGCAGCACGGGAGUAGCAAUACAACUGGUGGCGACCGGCGCACGGGUGAGUAACGCGUAUGCAACCUACCUAUCGAGAGGGGAAUAACCCGGCGAAAGUCGGACUAAUACCGCAUAAAACAGGGGCACCGCAUGGUGAUAUUUGUUAAAGAGAUUCGCUGAUAGAUGGGCAUGCGUUCCAUUAGGUAGUUGGUGAGGUAACGGCUCACCAAGCCGACGAUGGAUAGGGGAACUGAGAGGUUGGUCCCCCACACUGGUACUGAGACACGGACCAGACUCCUACGGGAGGCAGCAGUGAGGAAUAUUGGUCAAUGGGCGGGAGCCUGAACCAGCCAAGUCGCGUGAAGGAAGAAGGAUCUAUGGUUCGUAAACUUCUUUUGCAGGGGAAUAAAGUGCAGGACGUGUCCUGUUUUGUAUGUACCCUGAGAAUAAGGAUCGGCUAACUCCGUGCCAGCCGCCGC
rnacentral:rRNA from 1 species